GCCCGCGUAGCAGAAUUAGGUAUAUGCUCUGGUCUCAAACACCAGGUAAUUGAGGGUUCGAGUCCCUUCGUGGGUAC
rnacentral:tRNA from 1 species